UUGACCUCAAAUCAGGUAGGACUACCCGCUGAACUUAAGCAUAUCAAUAAGCGGAGGAAAAGAAACUAACAAGGAUUCCCCUAGUAACUGCGAGUGAAGAGGGAAAAGCUCAAAUUUAAAAUCUGGCAGCUUCGCUGUCCGAGUUGUAAUUUAGAGAAGUGUUACCCGCGUUGGACCGUGUACAAGUCUCCUGGAACGGAGCGUCAUAGAGGGUGAGAAUCCCGUCUUUGACACGGACUACCAAGGCUUUGUGGUACGCUCUCGAAGAGUCGAGUUGUUUGGGAAUGCAGCUCUAAAUGGGUGGUAAAUUCCAUCUAAAGCUAAAUAUUGGCGAGAGACCGAUAGCAAACAAGUACCGUGAGGGAAAGAUGAAAAGAACUUUGGAAAGAGAGUUAAACAGUACGUGAAAUUGUUGAAAGGGAAACGCUUAAAGUCCAGUCGCGUUGGUUAGGAAUCAGCCUUGGUUUUCCUUGGUGUAUUUCCUAAUCGACGGGUCAACAUCAGUUUUGACCGUUGGAUAAAGGUCGAGGGAAUGUGGCACCUUCGGGUGUGUUAUAGCCCUUGAUUGUAUACAGCGGUUGGGACUGAGGAACUCAGCACGCCGAAAGGCCGGGUCUUGUACCACGUU
rnacentral:rRNA from 1 species